GGAUGAUGAUUAUGAUGAUGGUGAAGAUGAUGAUUAUGAUGACGGUGAAGAUGCUGAUUAUGAUGAUGUAUAAUGGUGCAAUAAGUCCUGCAUUAUAGUCAAAGUUGUUUAUUGACCUAGCUGGGUUAACUAUAAGGAUAAAACCAUCAUCAUCAUCAUCAUCAUCAUCAUCAUCAUCAUCA
rnacentral:pre_miRNA from 1 species